rnacentral:tRNA from 1 species
GCCCCCAUAGCUCAGUGGAUAGAGCGACGGUCUUCUAAACCGCAGGUCGAGGGUUCGAAUCCUUCUGGGGGCG